GAAAGUUCGCAAUCAAAAUAUCAGGACAAUUUCAGACUUGUCAGAAGUGUUUGCUCGUCGUCAUUUAAGAUUUCCAGUUUGAGACAAUGUAUCCAUCGAGAAACUUUAAGAUCCAUUGUGAUGCAAGGCAUCAAGAUAUAUGAUUAGUCUACUUAACCAGAAGUUAUCAAUGAAAAAAUGUGGAGAUUUAGAAUUCGUUGGAAGGUCUUCGAAGUGCUCUAUACGUACGUUGUUCCGCUCUAUUGUGAUGUAGCAUUUUUAUACACUAGUAUUAAUGACAAGCAAGAUAUUUAUUAAAUAAUCCUAGGCAAAAUGUAGAGUGAAAGAGAAGAUAUCAACGAUUACGACAAAAGCGGACUUAGGAUGAAGACUAUUUACCUCAUUUUAUUUUUUGGAAGUAGCGUUGGCACCAAGGUAUAAACACGAUAUUAUAUUAUAUUCCAUUGAUAAACUGUAUAUAUUUCUAUCUGUAUUGAUCUUCUAUUAUACAAUGCGAUCUUCCAUUUAGAAAGACAAGAUGAUAUGAGGUAAAGGUGGUGUUGUAAAUGUAAAGACCUUCCCAUGCAUGAGACGUGGACAAGUAGUGAAUGUAGUGUACUGUAUAAAUCUAUGCGCUUUUUAAAUUUUAAUCCAACAAACAUUCUUGUACAUUGUAUAUCAUUUUCAAUUGAAAUAUUUCCCUUAUAUUUUCCUGAUAAAUCUUGGCAACACUAAUGUCGAUAAAACAUCAAGUCAUGUUCAUGGAGGUGUCCUAAGGAGUAAAGUCUGUCUGGGACAUCUCUUAUGAUACAUCUUACGAUUUUUUUCUAAAGCUAUUGCAAUUCAAAACUCGUCGCAAUUUUAUUCUAUAGUUCAAACCACACCAUGGGUGUUAUAUGACCAUCUGAAGAUAAAACAUGGUUGCCGUUUACUACUUUACUAAGUGUUACCGACUUAUAAAUGAUAUACUCCAUGUUAUGCAGGGCAGUAAUCUUUUGGUGCCAUGUUUUCUUUAUAUCAUAAGAGCAACAUAUGAUACAUACACAUCAAUAUUAAGUUCCCCUCUAUAGGGUCUGUAAGUCUCGUUUACUUUCGCUUUCGUUUUACUACUUCCGGGCAGUAAAGCAAAAUGCCAUAUUGUUUUGCAUACGGUUGCAAUCACAUUACCGGCGGAAAACAACGUUGCAGCUUGUUUCGCUUCCCGAUUGAAGCACCCAAGAGAAAGAAAUGGAUUGAGAGGUUCAGGUAGGCGCAUUUUUAUACUUUUUCAGCGUGAUUUACCGGCAUGAAAAUGAAAUUAAAGCAGAUUAGUAAAUCUCACAGUCAUAGUGACCGUGUCAUAUGCGUUUUCGACUAAUGGUCAUUUACUACCACAAUAUAAUUUUUUCUUCAAUUAAACUGUGUUAAAGAAUUGUCAUAUGUUUAAUUGUGAUCAAAAUAUAGAUCAGUAGGUUAAAGUAACAUUCAAUAUACAUGUAGGUUUUCUAAUUCGCAGGCGUACAGAUAGAGAGUGCGAUAAUAAUGAUCGAAUCUGCAGUUGUCAUUUCCGCGAGGGCAAGAAGGAGAAUGGGCCAACCGUAUUCAACUUCAGCAAAACGUUAAGCUUCCCUGAACUACCCACUCGAAAAAGGCAAAAGAAAUCUAAAGAAGCUGGCAAUGAUGAUAUGGAUGAACAAUCUGCAUCUUGUAAUGAUCAUGGUUAUCUAGUUCAUGACCAUUCCUAUCACAUGACUUCAGAUGAUGAUGUUGAGGCUUCUAUGCCCAUUCAAAAACAAUUCAAUUCAGGUAAGAAACAAUAAAGAUCCAGUAAAUAUAGAUAUAAUUCUCACUACAUCAAGGCUUAUACUCUUUAUGAUACCAUGCCACAAGAUGGCGAUUUAAAUGUUUUGUAAAAUUAUUUUUAUUGAUUGAGAUGUUAGCUCAGUGGUCAUAGCAUUGGUCUGGUGAACCGCAGAUCUCGGGUUCAAAUCCGCCAGUCUUUUGUUCAUAUGUGCUGAUUUGUUUUUGAAAACCAUGGUUUUUUUAAUAUCCAAAAUUGCAUAUUUUCUGCCAUUUUAACAUAAGUAUUCAUUAUAUAUCAUCAUAUCUUUCAUAAUCAAACCAUUUCAUGCUGAUUUGAGAAACUCUUUCAAGAUAUAGUGAGCCACCUUAAAAUUCAAGGACUGUAGUGUAUGUGAAACAUAUAAACUACAUAAAAAACCUUAAACACAAAGAUACAUUGCUGGAUCUAGUAAGUGCUCUACCAAGCCCCAAUCUCUGCUCCUCACGAAACUGUUAACAGCUGUGAAGGAGAAACUUCAAACUUACUGUGCGACAACAUAUGCCAGAAGUGGUGUUAAUCAAAUGUGGAUUCUAAAAAAUUCUAAAGAACUUUUAGUAAACUUGAAAUCACAGAAUUUUUCACAGAAUUUUUCCCAAAUCAAUAGCAUUAAAACCUAUGACUUUUCAACACUAUACACGACCAUUCCUCACGAUAAAUAACGAUUUUCACAUACAAAUUAUUAUCAACAUUCAUCAUAUGUACUUGUGAGGAGGAUCUUCAUGAAAAAUAUUUGAAUUUAGUUUUUUGUCAGUCAUUGAAUUUUGACCUCACCUUUUACAAGCAUGAUUAUUGGCAAAUGUACCAGAUAAGAAAUUCAUACUGCGUAAUUCUUAAAUUGUUACUUUUGGGGAUUUUAUUGUUCCAAGUAUUAUUUUAUUUCAGUAUAUUUUUCUGAACAAAAAAAAAAACCAAAAAAAAAAAAAAAAAAACCAAAACAAAAGAAAAAAAAAAAACACCAAAAAAAAAAACAAACCAAAAAACAAAAAAACAAAACACUAACGCUGAAUGAGAGCAAAAGUUAUAUAUUAUAUUGGAUAUAUAUGUCCUUCAAGUCAAAUGAAAAUUUCUCAUAUAUUGUAAAUUUGUAUUUUUGAUAUAUUUAACAAAUCAUUCUGAUAAAGAUGGAAGAAAUACUGAGAAAUAAGAAUCUAGCAUUGUUGAAAUGUUUUGAUACCAUGUGCUGUUUUUCAAUAUUCUAAUAAUUUUCAAGUCCACUUGAGUCCAAAUGACAAGGUCACAGCAUUGAGUUCCAGACAAAUGAAGCUGUCCUUGUAUCUGAUGCCAGUAGUCAUGUGUCAUGUGUCCUUUCAAAGUAAAGUUACCAUCUUCCUCUUUGACUGAAAUAUAGAUAAAAAUGGUUAUAAAAUUAAAUCCAUCCAUGUUAUGCCAGAAAGAGGCCCAUAGGCCUUAUCGAUCACAUGAGCACUAGUGAAAAAGUAUCACUACUCCCAAGGGCUAUGAAAUUUGGAAAAAUGUCCUGUUCUGAAUAUCUAAGCUUAAUUCCAAUGCUCAGCAACAGUACAAAACAAAAUAUAUUUUUAAAACUUCACAGCCCUCAAAAGUGCAUAAAAUGAUCAAAUGCUUUACAAUGUACAUAAUAUAAUAAGUGUAUUAACAUUAAAACAUCAAUAGAUACGACUAAUUUGGACCCAACCUAGAAUCAAAACCCUGGGUUGUGAAAUUCACCAUUUUUUGUACAUAAUUUUCUGCUAUUCCUAAGUAUGCAUUUAGAUUUUAUACAGUGUCAGCAAACUUGUACAAAACAUAUAUACUAAGUUUGGCCCCACCCUGGGGUCAGAACCCCAUCCCCAGGGAUAAUAAAAUUGUCAAUUUGAGUGGAUGCCUUCCUGGUCUUCAUCACUAGAUGCAUUUAGUUUUUCUUACACAUGUGCAGUGUGAAGAUUUUUGAAAAUUGGUCAAAUUAAGUUAUCAAGAAGUUUAAAAAUGUUUAAUUGUCAACACACGAUGACAAACAACAACCAAUAGCUAAAAUGUAAUGACAGUCUGUGAGUCAUUAAAUGUCAUACAGCUGAUGUCUCUAAUAUGAUUCAAUUACAGUGUAUACCCAUACCUAAGUAAAAAUCCUUGAUUGUACUGCAUCUGUAACAGUCAAGUCCUUAGCUGAGAAAGGGCAUUUGACCUCCACUAUGUCGGGCAACGUUUUCCUCUAAGGAUGCUGGAGGUGCACAUUCAAACUGUCUUUGAAAGUUCCUUGCACAAAACCAUCAGGUGAAGCCCCUAAGAAUCCUGUCUCAUGAAGCCAUAUACCUACAAAUAAUAUAUUCUUAAAUUAAAUAUUAUUUAUUGUCCUCAUAGAAGAAUGAUAUCAAUGAUAUGUAAACAAAAUUUUUUGUCAAUAAAGAUACCUGUUGGCAACACUGUUACAUCCCCUUCUUUGCAGUAUUCCUUUAUAGCAACACUCUCAUGUGUAACACCCCACUGGAUGGGGGAUCUUUUUUCUAAGUUGUAGGCACUCAAUAACCUUUUCUUUAAGGAGAUAUUUAACCUGGUGGAAAGGAAAACAUAUGUCAUUGCUAAUAAGAUUCUUUUUCACCUGAAUGUAUUUUUAAAUUGGGCUGAAAUUUUAACCAAUUCUAUUCACCAUGAAUGUAUGUCUACCUAUUGCGCUUUUCAGCUGCAAUGAUUGGUCCAAAACUAGAAGCAGUAAAUCUAUGUUUCCUUACUGCUGCACAGGUAGCAUUACCUCUCUGUCCAAUUGUGAGGAAGGCUGUUUGUAUUACUCUAUCAGGUGAAACGAUCAGUUGCUGCCUCAGCCAUGAGAGUAGUUCCUUUGCUGUAAGUACUCUUGGCACAAAAGAAGGUCCUCAACAAUUGGUACAGGUAGUGCCUCAAUCUCGGGUUCCUUUGACAGAAUCCAAUGCAGAGCUUUUAAGAAAAGAAAGAACAUUGAAAAAUACAUUUGCAUUUAUGAAAGAUAUGUAAUUUUUAUACAUGUUCAUGAAAAUAUUGUGUAGAGAAUUGAAUAUAUUUAUCUUUACAAACUAAACAAGGAGUUGUUUCACAUUUACUUCUAAGUUGCUAGAAUUUGUAACCAAUCCAUUUGUCUAUUUAUAAAAUAAGAUACUGGAUUCCUAAACUACAUAAAAACCCUUACAAACAAAGAUAUAUUGCUGGAUCCAGUAAGUGCUCUACCAAGCCCCUAUCUUUGCUCCUCACGAAACUGUUAACAGCUGUGAAGGAGAAACUUCAAACUUACUGUGCGACUACAUAUGCCAGAAGUGGUGUUAAUCAAAUGUGGAUUCUAAAAAAUUCUAAAGAACUUUUAGUAAACUUGAAAUCACAGAAUUUUUCCCAAAUCAAUAGCAUUAAAACCUAUGACUUUUCAACACUAUACACGACCAUUCCUCACGAUAAAUUAAAGACUAGACUUUUUGACAUCAUAGACAGUUGCUUCUUCAACAAAAACGGAAAACGGAAAUACUCAUAUCUAGUGAUCAGUCAUUCAAAACUUACUUUGUUAAACACCACUCUGAUUCCACGCACAAGUACUCUGAAGUUGAAAUAAAAAAUAUGCUAGAGUUUCUCAUUGACAAUAUCUUCGUGGUCUUUGGUGAUCAGGUCUUCCAACAGUCUGUUGGAAUUUCCCUGGGCACGAAUUGUGCUCCUUUGUGUUAGUUGACCUGCUUUUAUAUUCAUAUAAAGCAGAAUUUAUUCAAAAACUUCUACGUGAGAAGAAAAAAUCUUUCGCUGUGACCUUCAAUUCGACUUUUAGAUAUAUCGAUGACGUUUUAUCUAUUAACAAUGAUAGCUUUCAUUCAUAUGUCGAUUUGAUAUAUCCCCGUGAGCUCGAA